rnacentral:rRNA from 1 species
GAUGAACGCUGGCGGCGUGCCUAAUACAUGCAAGUCGAGCGAACGGACGAGACGCUUGCUUCUCUGAUGUUAGCGGCGGACGGGUGAGUAACACGUGGAUAACCUACCUAUAAGACUGGGAUAACUUCGGGAAACCGGAGCUAAUACCGGAUAAUAUUUUGAACCUCAUGGUUCAAAAGUGAAAGACGGUCUUGCUGUCACUUAUAGAUGGAUCCGCGCUGCAUUAGCUAGUUGGUAAGGUAACGGCUUACCAAGGCAACGAUGCAUAGCCGACCUGAGAGGGUGAUCGGCCACACUGGAACUGAGACACGGUCCAGACUCCUACGGGAGGCAGCAGUAGGGAAUAUUCCGCAAUGGGCGAAAGCCUGACGGAGCAACGCCGCGUGAGUGAUGAAGGUCUUCGGAUCGUAAAACUCUGUUAUUAGGGAAGAACAGAUGUGUAAGUAACUGUGCACAUCUUGACGGUACCUAAUCAGAAAGCCACGGCUAACUACGUG